rnacentral:rRNA from 1 species
CUAGCGAGACUGCCACCGUAAGGUGUGAGGAAGGUGGGGAUGACGUCAAAUCAGCACGGCCCUUACGUCCGGGGCGACACACGUGUUACAAUGGGGGGUACAGAGGGUUGCUACCAAGCGAUUGGAUGCUAAUCUCUAUAAAGCCUCUCUCAGUUCGGAUCGGAGUCUGCAACUCGACUCCGUGAAGCUGGAUUCGCUAGUAAUCGCGCAUCAGCCAUGGCGCGGUGAAUACGUUCCCGGGCCUUG